GACGAACGCUGGCGGCGUGCUUAACACAUGCAAGUCGAACGGAAAGGCCCUGCUUUUGUGGGGUGCUCGAGUGGCGAACGGGUGAGUAACACGUGAGUAACCUGCCCUUGACUUUGGGAUAACUUCAGGAAACUGGGGCUAAUACCGGAUAGGAGCUCCUGCUGCAUGGUGGGGGUUGGAAAGUUUCGGCGGUUGGGGAUGGACUCGCGGCUUACCAGCUUGUUGGUGGGGUAGUGGCUUACCAAGGCUUUGACGGGUAGCCGGCCUGAGAGGGUGACCGGGCACAAUGGGACUGCGGGAGGGACCAGUAGGCAAUGGGAGGCAACAGGGGGAAAUAUUACGCAGUGGGGCGGAGCCUGUGACGACGACCCCGGGUGCGGGAUGACCGGCUACGGGUUGUGAACCGCUUUCGACUGUGACGAAGCGUGAGUGACGGUAAUGAGUAAAAAAGCACCGGCUAACUACGUG
rnacentral:rRNA from 1 species